GUAAAGCUGUGUCAGAUACGAGGAAAAUAAAAGCAGUGGGGGGAAGGUGCCUCUUCUGUUUCUUCAGAGAGCCAGGCACUGGAGAGCUGAUGAUUAGAUGGAGACCUGAAGAUCUAUGACAGGGCUGCUCAUCAGAAUCUCAGUGCUGGCUUCUACUUUGCCUAACCCAACAAAAGACACGUGCUUAUCAACUGCAGCGGAGCCUCAGCAUGAUUGUAACUGUGCUAAAAGAGGGUGAUCGUCAAGAGAAACAAGCAAACAGAAAAGGCAUGCGACUUCAUUCAAGGAACUCGGAGCCCAUUUCAAGUCAUUGCAUACUCAAGAGAAAGAAAAUGUUGGCUUCUGACUCAUAACCAUGUGGACCAACUGCAACCACAGGCUGUGCUGGAGCUCCUGAAACCAGACCAAGUUCUGUCCCGUGCUGCUGCAUCCCUUCCCACACCUGCCAUCCCCUGGGCUGCGCUGAAGCAGGAAGCAGGAAGCACCAUAAAUCUUGUGAAGAAGCCUUCUGGCAAGCUUCCUAGCCCGGCUCUGCUGAGCUCUGAGCUUUGGAUCAGUUGGAUAAACUUCAUCUGGCCUGUGCGUUCCACUGUUUUGCAACGGUGGGUGAUGGUUUUAAGUGGCUCGUCCUUGGCCUUUGAGUCUAUAACCACUUGGUUUUGUGGGCUUGGAUUGUUUCUGCAUGAAAAAGACCUUCAGCACAUGUCUCCUAACCCAUGGGUAAGUGCUUCUGAGUCUGGACUAUGA
rnacentral:lncRNA from 1 species